rnacentral:rRNA from 1 species
GUGACUGCGUACCUUUUGUAUAAUGGGUCAGCGACUUAUAUUCUGUAGCAAGGUUAACCGUAUAGGGGAGCCGCAGGGAAACCGAGUCUUAACCGGGCGUUAAGUUGCAGGGUAUAGACCCGAAACCCGGUGAUCUAGCCAUGGGCAGGUUGAAGGUUGGGUAACACUAACUGGAGGACCGAACCGACUAAUGUUGAAAAAUUAGCGGAUGACCUGUGGCUGGGGGUGAAAGGCCAAUCAAACCGGGAGAUAGCUGGUUCUCCCCGAAAGCUAUUUAGGUAGCGCCUCGUGAAUUCAUCUCCGGGGGUAGAGCACUGUUUCGGCCAGGGGGCCAUCCCGGCUUACCAACCCGAUGCAAACUGCGAAUACCGGAGAAUGUUAUCACGGGAGACACACGGCGGGUGCUAACGUCCGUCGUGAAGAGGGAAACAACCCAGACCGCCAGCUAAGGUCCCAAAGUCAUGGUUAAGUGGGAAACGAUGUGGGAAGGCCCAGACAGCCAGGAUGUUGGCUUAGAAGCAGCCAUCAUUUAAAGAAAGCGUAAUAGCUCACUGGUCGAGUCGGCCUGCGCGGAAGAUGUAACGGGGCUAAACCAUGCACCGAAGCUGCGGCAGCGA